AAUGUCAUGCCGGAUAAACGGACUACUUUGAUGGUGUAGAUCAUGAGCACUGCUCUGACAUUU
rnacentral:tRNA from 1 species